UCAUUAGUUUUUUAAUUGAAAGCUUGUAUGAAUGGUUUGAUGAGAAAAUAUCUUUCUAUAUCUAAAUUUUUAAGAAUUUUAUUUUUAAGUUAAAAAGCUUAAAUUUGUUUAAUAGACGAGAAGACCCUAUAGAGUUUUAUUAUUAAUUAAGUUUAAAUUUAAGGGAUUUAAUAAUUUUAACUUUAUUUAAUAAUUUGAUUGGGGUGAUUGAAAAAUUAAAUAAACUUUUUUUAUAUUUAAACAUAGAUUUAUGAAUAUUUGAUCCAUGCAAUUGAUUAAAAGACUAAAUUACCUUAGGGAUAACAGCGUUAUUUUUUUUUAGAGUUCAAAUCGAAAAAAAAGAUUGCGACCUCGAUGUUGGAUUAAAGUUAAUUUUAGGUGCAGAAGCUUAAA
rnacentral:rRNA from 1 species